UGGGAAAUAUUGCACAAUGGGCGCAAGCCUGAUGCAGCCAUGUCGCGUGUAUGAAGAAGGCCUUCGGGUUGUAAAGUACUUUCAGCGGGGAGGAAGGCGAUAAGGUUAAUAACCUUGUCGAUUGACGUUACCCGCAGAAGAAGCACCGGCUAACUCCGUGCCAGCAGCCGCGGUAAUACGGAGGGUGCAAGCGUUAAUCGGAAUUACUGGGCGUAAAGCGCACGCAGGCGGUCUGUCAAGUCGGAUGUGAAAUCCCCGGGCUCAACCUGGGAACUGCAUUCGAAACUGGCAGGCUAGAGUCUUGUAGAGGGGGGUAGAAUUCCAGGUGUAGCGGUGAAAUGCGUAGAGAUCUGGAGGAAUACCGGUGGCGAAGGCGGCCCCCUGGACAAAGACUGACGCUCAGGUGCGAAAGCGUGGGGAGCAAACA
rnacentral:rRNA from 1 species